GGGGCUCGAGUGAACUCCCUAACCCUUUGUUUAUAUACCUGUUCAGUUGCUUCGGCAGGCGGCCCCAGGGCGGGGCCUCCAGCCUGCUCACGCAGGUGCCUGCCGCUGGCGCAAAAAACUCGUUAUAUUUUACCAUUCUGAGUCUCUCAAAAAUGAAUCAAAACUUUCAACAACGGAUCUCUUGGUUCUGGCAACGAUGAAGAACGCAGCGAAAUGCGAUAAGUAAUGUGAAUUGCAGAAUUCAGUGAAUCAUCGAAUCUUUGAACGCACAUUGCGCCCAUUAGUAUUCUAGUGGGCAUGCCUGUUCGAGCGUCAUUACAACCCUCAAGCGCUGUAGUGCUUGGUGUUGGGGCUUCUGCUGCUUGCAGCAGGCCCUGAAAGAUAGUGGCGAGGUCGCCGUGACCCUGAGCGUAGUAAUUUACACCUCGCUUCUGUGGCUCGCGGCGGGUUCUCAGCCGUGAAACCCCCAAUUUUCACAAGGUUGACCUCGGAUCAGGUAGGAAUACCCGCUGAACUUAAGCAUAUCAAUAGCCCGGAGGAA
rnacentral:rRNA from 1 species